AAAUGCGAUAAGUAGUGUGAAUUGCAGAAUUCAGUGAAUCAUCGAAUCUUUGAACGCACAUUGCGCCCCUUGGUAUUCCAUGGGGCAUGCCUGUUCGAGCGUCAUUUGUACCCUCAAGCUCUGCUUGGUGUUGGGUGUUUGUCCCCGUCUCCGCGCGUGGACUCGCCCCAAAGUGAUUGGCAGCCGGCGUACUGGUCCCGGAGCGCAGCACAUGUCGCGCAAACGAGUGCCUUGGUACGGCGGCGUCCAUAAGCCCCUCUCUCACGCUCUUGACCUCGGAUCAGGUAGGGAUACCCGCUGAACUUAAG
rnacentral:misc_RNA from 1 species